GAGUUUGAUCCUGGCUCAGAUUGAACGCUGGCGGCAGGCCUAACACAUGCAAGUCGAGCGGAUGAAGGGAGCUUGCUCCUGGAUUCAGCGGCGGACGGGUGAGUAAUGCCUAGGAAUCUGCCUGGUAGUGGGGGAUAACGUCCGGAAACGGGCGCUAAUACCGCAUACGUCCUGAGGGAGAAAGUGGGGGAUCUUCGGACCUCACGCUAUCAGAUGAGCCUAGGUCGGAUUAGCUAGUUGGUGGGGUAAAGGCCUACCAAGGCGACGAUCCGUAACUGGUCUGAGAGGAUGAUCAGUCACACUGGAACUGAGACACGGUCCAGACUCCUACGGGAGGCAGCAGUGGGGAAUAUUGGACAAUGGGCGAAAGCCUGAUCCAGCCAUGCCGCGUGUGUGAAGAAGGUCUUCGGAUUGUAAAGCACUUUAAGUUGGGAGGAAGGGCAGUAGUUAAUACCUUGCUGUUUUGACGUUACCAACAGAAUAAGCACCGGCUAACUUCGUGCCAGCCACCGCCGU
rnacentral:rRNA from 1 species